GAGAAGAAAAAGUUAUCAACAAGUGUGUUCUGUUAGUUUCAAAUGCUGUAACCUUGUGGCUUGAAAGAAAGCAGAAAAACUUUACUUGCCGUUAAAACACAAAACUAGUCGAAAACCCAUUUUUCUUUCCCGUCGCAAGCGGAAGGCAUGACUGAAGGGAGCCUAGGAAGACUAGGAAAACUAGGCAGAUCCCAGUCACCCUUCUCCCGCCACCCCACGUUUGCAUUCUUUGCACAAAACCCUACAGCCGCGUGGAUAAGUUUCUUUCCUUGCAGUGUCCAAUGGACUUGUUCCAAAAAAUUGUCCUCAAUUUCCAGUUUUGUAAAUGAAACCACAUCAUUAUCUCCGUUGUAAUUCCAGGUGCUUCACGUGGCUAUGGAUCCUUGCCCUUAAGUGUUUUUGUCCAGUGAUUUCGUUAUUUAAGGAAGUUAAUAUCAGCAUUCAUUCACUGUUAUGCCUUUUUAAGGGCAAUUAUUUUGUAAAGGGAAAAAAAUCACCAUGCUAAUUAGUAAUCCCUCAUAUUCUAUAUUUUGUGAGUUUAAAUUUUCACUUGUCUUUCAUCGAAGCAGGGAACAACUAUUUUUAGACUCUUUUUUAAAAAAUUAUUGAAGUGAUAUUACAGAAAUCUUAGAUUCUGAAAUAAUGUGUCAGAUGAUCCAGUGUGUUACCCUCUGGAUUCAACUGGUACCGUUUUUGCCAGAGAAAACACUUGUUGAAUGAAUAAAUGAGUGAUUGAGGGAAUGAAUGCAGGGAAUAACAACCAGAUGAAGAUGAAUUAUGCUGUGUUCUGCAGUGCACCUGACAGUUACUUAGUUCCAGCCCUCCUCUCAGAGAAGGCAAUGGCACCCCAUUCCAGUGUUCUUGCCUGGAGAAUCCCAGGGACGGGGGAGCCUGGUGGGCUGCCGUCUAUGGGGCCGCAGAGUCGGACACGCCUGAAGCGACUUAGCAGCAGCAGCAGCAGCCCUCCUCUCCCUUGGUCUCUUAAUUUCUAGAGGACAAAGAAGCUCUACUUAUCAGCCUCAUAUUGUCCCACAGAGCCUGACUGUGACAGUUUGUUAAACUGAAUUAAAAGAGAAACACCUGUUGUUUAAGACACACGCAGUGGGUUUUGAGCAGUUCCACCAGUGCUGAGUCCCUUUGCCAAGUGGAAAAUCCCAGAGAAAAGCAGUCUAGUGUAUCAGUCAAGACACAGGCUAAUGAUAGGCCAUAUUUCAGCCUCUGGUCUGACAUGUACCAGCCCUGUGACCUUGGCUAAGUUACCAGACCUUUUAGAGUCUCCAUCUCCUUAUCCCUAAGAGUAAUAAAGAUGUCUACCUUACAGAUCUGUAAAAAAGAAAUAAAUAUGACAGUGUAUGUAAAGUGAAGUCGCUCAGUCGUGUCCGACUCUGCGACCCCAUGGACUGUAGCCUGCCAGGCUCGUCUGUCCAUGGGAUUUUCCAGGCAAGAAUACUGGAGUGGGUUGCCAUUUCCUUCUCCAGGGGAACUUCCCGACCCAGGGAUCGAACCCCGGUCUCUCGCAUUGUAGGCAAACGGUUUACCGUCUUCCAUCACAGUAACUGCUCAGUAAAUGUCCAAAGCAGUGGAUGCCGUAUAUGGAGGAUGGUAAGUCCUCUGUCCUCCCAAAGCCUGAGGCUGACAGUCCAAAAUGGAUGUGAAGAUGCAGGGGAGUAGAGUGCUGAACAGGGACAGCUGUGUGAUCUUCCAACCAGUCCCACCCUCUCUGGGCUGCAAGUUUCUCAGCUGCCUGAGCAGUUGCUCCUCCCCUUGAAGUUCCCUGCUUGCCACACAUGCUUUACAAAUAAGGACCAUCUUUACAAAUAAGGACCAUCUGGUGGAUCGUUAAGCUUAUAUAAAAUGGAGUUCCAGAUGUACCAGGAAAGUGCUUCCUUAUGUGACCUUAUAGAAAUACUGGAUCAAAGCAGACCAAUUCUGAGAGAAACCCCACAGAGCAGGACUUCCUGGUGGUCUAGUAGCAGGGGGGCCUGGGUUCAAUCCCUGGUCAGAAAACUAGAUCCCACGUCCUGCUGCUAACACCUGAUGCAGCCAAAUGAAUAAAAAAUAAGUUUUUGUUUUUGUUUAAGAAAAAGAAACCCCACAGAACAACCACACGUGAAUUCCUCAUCUGGUCACCAAGGGUCUAUGCACUAAAGGAGAAAACAUGGACAUUCAGGGAAUGCAAGAUGCUGUUCUGAUCAAAACAAAGGGGCUUUCCCACAUCAGAGGCAUAUCUUGUCCACGGCACUCGUCUCUACUUGAGUCCCUCUUCAACACUUAGAUCAGCUCACAAAUGUUCAUUUAAUCUGCAGAGCACAGUAGUACACAGCACUGGUUUGAAAACUCUUUGGAAAUUCAACCUGGAAAUCCAGGGGUUCAUCUGCUAAACUCCUGCUCCUCUGCUCAGCCCAGCCUUGGCUUUACUUCAGCUUGGAAACCUUGACCAGGAAUCUCCCCUUCUCCUUGCCCACUCCCUGGACUGGGCAGAAACAAAAGAGCCUGAAAAUGAUGGACAUAGGGAAGGAGAAAUGAAUCAAGGUACAAGUAUGAAGAGCCAAUGAAGAGAGUCAUGAAGUAUUUUGGAGGAAAGCUCCUUGUGCCAAAUCUAAUUUUUCCUGGAGCUACCCAAGCCCAAGACAUAUUUCUGGAGCCAGCCAAAGAAGAGGCCCAUGGAAUUUUAAGUAUCUUGAAAACAAAAGAAAUCCAGGCUGAGAUGUCCAGUGUAUUUAUAUUCAGGCACAGAGCAACACAGUAAUGAUAUAUUUGUUCUUUACAUCCCAAAACAAUAUGACAUACAAAACAUUGAGGAAAACCCUCAAAAAAGGAAAAAGCUCACAAUAACAAAUAAUAGUAGCUGCUAUAAAACUAGCCUUGGCUAGAUUUCAGGCCCUUGUCUGUGUCUUUUAUAUACAUCAUUUAAUCCUCCUCACAGCAGCCUACAGGGUUCAUGCUUUUAUUAUCCCUAUUUUGAAGGGGAGCAAUCACAGAGAGGCUGAGUAACUUGCCCAGGGGCAGAGCUAGUUAGAGGGAGCUGGGGUAGGGACCCCAUGGGGUCACCCUGCCUCACCCAUGAGUCCAUGCAAUCUUGUGUGGUGGAACAUUCUUAAAAGACAGACACUGUGAAAUGCGGUUUCCUUUAAGAGCUAAAAAUUGCUUCCUUCCAAAUAAAGGCUAUCCAACAAUUACAGGCUUUCACAAGAAAGAAUGUUCAGGGCAGCUGAGUGUGGCAGAUCAUGG
ensembl:lncRNA